UCGAGAAUUUUUCACAAUGGGCGCAAGCCUGAUGGAGCGACGCCGCGUGGGGGAUGAAUGGCUUCGGCCCGUAAACCCCUGUCAUUCGCGAUCAACCCUUAUUAUUUAAAAGAUGAUGAGCUGAUAGUAGCGGAAGAGGAAGGGACGGCUAACUCUGUGCCAGCAGCCGCGGUAAUACAGAGGUCCCAAGCGUUGUUCGGAUUCACUGGGCGUAAAGGGUGCGUAGGUGGUGGCGUAAGUCGGAUGUGAAAUCUCGGAGCUUAACUCCGAAAUGGCAUUGGAAACUGCGUCGCUUGAGGGUCGGAGGGGGGACUGGAAUACUUGGUGUAGCAGUGAAAUGCGUAGAUAUCAAGUGGAACACCAGUGGCGAAGGCGAGUCCCUGGACGACUCCUGACACUGAGGCACGAAAGCUAGGGGAGCAAACA
rnacentral:rRNA from 1 species